CUGAUGCAGCACGCCGCGUGCGGGAUGACGCCUUCGGGUUGUAAACCGCUUUCACCCAUGACGAAGCGCGAGUGACGGUAGUGGGGGAAGAAGCACCGGCCACUACGUGCCAGCAGCCGCGGUGAUACGUAGGGUGCGAGCGUGCCCGAUAUGGGCGUAAAGAGCUUGUAGGCGGUUGAUCGCGUCGAUAGUGAAAUCCCGGGGCUCAACCUCGGGCUUGCUGUCGAUACGGGUUGACUUGAGGAAGGUAGGGGAGAAUGGAACUCCCGGUGGAGCGGUGGAAUGCGCAGAUAUCGGGAAGAACACCGGUGGCGAAGGCGGUUCUCUGGACCUUUCCUGACGCUGAGAAGCGAAAGCGUGGGGAGCAAACAGGCUUAGAUACCCUGGUAGUCCACGCUGUAAACGGUGGGUACUAGGUGUGGGUCGCAUUCCACGUGAUCCGUGCCGUAGCCAACGCAUUAAGUACCCCGCCUGGGGAGUACGGCCGCAAGGCUAAAACUCAAAGGAAUUGACGGGGCCCCGCACAAGCGGCGGAGCAUGCGGAUUAAUUCGAUGCAACGCGAAGAAC
rnacentral:rRNA from 1 species